UACUCCGUUUCUCUCCAGUCGUCGAGAAGGAUCGACGCUGGUCGGCUACAAUAAUAAGAUUUGUAUUUGUUUUGCGCUUUGCAAUAUCGCAGCAACUGUUUAUUUUAGGUUGGUCGCAUUGUGCGCAGUUGCGUAGUAUAGUCUAUUACGCGGUCAAAAAAAUAUCUACAUUUACGCUCAGGCUCCUUGCGGGCCGUUCACGAUUAUUGAGAACUUGACUGACGUGGGCGAGUAGGAAAACCUGGUACAUAAAACGUCGGGAAGUGUGAUCUGAUGAUUGGAAAAUGAGGAACUGGUAUAUCACCCAUUGAUUAGUAUCUAAAUUCAAAAUUUCCUGAGAAUGGACUUCGAGGAAAGGAAAGUCAACGGGACGUUUUAACUAUAGAUAUAGCAGAAUUUGAUUAAUAGAAUGCUGCAUUACACGCGAUCCCACAGCUACUUUUUCACCUGGCACUGACGUUUUUGUAGAGUAAUUUAAAAACCAUAAUUUUCAACCCACGAGAAAACGAAAUUUUGUCAUAUUUCUAGUCGUCGCGCACCGAUACGGAAAUUAUUUUUGUUGCUACUACCGAACAAGUUGACAAUAAUAAAUCGAUAAAAUAAUUUUACACAGACAUCCGCUGGUUGAAUAAUUUAUGGUUUUAAUAAUAAUCGUUGCCUGUAAUCGAUUAAAAUGAAGGACGAUGAGACUGGUACAACAACAUACACCGUCUAAAUGCACAAUGGGAGGAAAUUUUGUUAAAAAUUAUGUAAAACGUGGACAUAUAUAUUCAAUAAGGUA